GAUGAACGCUGGCGGCGUGCCUAAUACAUGCAAGUCGAGCGAACAGAUAAGGAGCUUGCUCCUUUGACGUUAGCGGCGGACGGGUGAGUAACACGUGGGUAACCUACCUAUAAGACUGGAAUAACUCCGGGAAACCGGGGCUAAUGCCGGAUAACAUUUAGAACCGCAUGGUUCUAAAGUGAAAGAUGGUUUUGCUAUCACUUAUAGAUGGACCCGCGCCGUAUUAGCUAGUUGGUAAGGUAACGGCUUACCAAGGCAACGAUACGUAGCCGACCUGAGAGGGUGAUCGGCCAAACUGGAACUGAGCCACGGUCCAGACUCCUACGGGAGGCAGCAGUAGGGAAUCUUCCGCAAUGGGCGAAAGCCUGACGGAGCAACGCCGCGUGAGUGAUGAAGGUCUUCGGAUCGUAAAACUCUGUUAUUAGGGAAAAACAAAUGUGUAAGUAACUGUGCACGUCUUGACGGUACCUAAUCAGAAAGCCACGGCUAACUACGUG
rnacentral:rRNA from 1 species